rnacentral:rRNA from 1 species
UGAGGAAUAUUGGGCAAUGCCCGCAAGGGUGACCCAGCAACGCCGCGUGGAGGAUGAAUGUCGUAAGAUUGUAAACUCCUGUUAGAGGGGAAGAAUAGUACCGGUUGGACCGGUAUAUGACUGUACCCUCAGAGAAAGCCCCGGCUAACUACGUGCCAGCAGCCGCGGUAAUACGUAGGGGGCAAGCGUUGUCCGGAUUUACUGGGUGUAAAGGGCGCGCAGGCGGGAUAAAAAGUCAGUGGUGAAAUCCUACAGCUUAACUGUAGAACUGCCUCUGAUACUUUUAGUAUUGAGUUCGGGAGAGAGAGACGGAAUUCCAGGUGUAGUGGUAAAAUACGUAGAUAUCUGGGAGAACACCAGUUGCGAAGGCGGUCUCUUGGUCCGACACUGACGCUGAGGCGCGAAAGCG